CAACCCUCAUGCCCCCCCGGGGCGUGGUGUUGGGGAUCGGCCGAAGCCCGCAAGGGACGGCCGUCCCCUAAAUAUAGUGGCGGACCCGCCGUGGCCUCCCCUGCGAAGUAGUGAUAUUCCGCAUUGGAGCAGCAGCGAGACCCUGCCGUUAAACCCCCAACUUUCCAA
rnacentral:misc_RNA from 1 species